rnacentral:tRNA from 1 species
GGCGACGAUGCCAAGUGGUCUAAGGCGCAGGUCUGCAAAACCUCUAUUCGGCGGUUCGAAUCCGCCCGUCGCCUCCA